CUUCCUGUGGUCCAGUGGCCCACGACGCCGCCCCGUAGAGGCGGAGACGCACGUUCGACUCGUGUCGGGAAGA
rnacentral:tRNA from 1 species